rnacentral:rRNA from 1 species
CAAUAGCGUAUAUUUAAGUUGUUGCAGUUAAAAAGCUCGUAGUUGGAUUUCGGGUGGGACGCAGCGGUCUCGCAUUGCGUUUGUACUGCUGCAGCCCUCCUUCUUGCCGGGGGCGGCCUCUCGGGCUUCACUGUCUGGGGGUCAGAAUCGGCGAUGUUACUUUGAGUAAAUUAGAGUGUUCAAAGCAAGCUUACGCUCUGAAUAUAAUAGCAUGGGAUAACACGACAGGACUCUGGCCUAUCGUGUUGGUCUAUAGGACCAGAGUAAUGAUUAAGAGGGACAGUCGGGGGCAUUCGUAUUCCGUUGUCAGAGGUGAAAUUCUUGGAUUUACGGAAGACGAACAUCUGCGAAAGCAUUUGCCAAGGAUGUUUUCAUUGAC